GAAAGAUUCAUCGGAAGAGGAUGGGCAUGCGGCGCAUUAGCUAGACGGCGGGGUAACGGCCCACCGUGGCGACGAUGCGUAGGGGUUCUGAGAGGAAGGUCCCCCACACUGGUACUGAGACACGGACCAGACUCCUACGGGAGGCAGCAGUGAGGAAUAUUGGUCAAUGGGAGAGAUCCUGAACCAGCCAAGCCGCGUGAGGGAAGACGGCCCUAUGGGUUGUAAACCUCUUUUGUCGGAGAACAAAACCCGGGACGAGUCCCGGACUGCGUGUAUCCGAAGAAAAAGCAUCGGCUAACUCCGUGCCAGCAGCCGCGGUAAUACGGAGGAUGCGAGCGUUAUCCGGAUUUAUUGGGUUUAAAGGGUGCGUAGGCGGUCUGUUAAGUCAGCGGUAAAAUUGCGGGGCUCAACCCCGUCGAGCCGUUGAAACUGGCAGACUUGAGUUGGCGAGAAGUACGCGGAAUGCGCGGUGUAGCGGUGAAAUGCAUAGAUAUCGCGCAGAACUCCGAUUGCGAAGGCAGCGUACCGGCGCCAGACUGACGCUGAGGCACGAAAGCGUGGGGAUCGAACAGGAUUAGAUACCCUGGUAGUCCACGCAGUAAACGAUAAAUGCUGGUUGUCCGGGUCGAAUGAGACCUGGGCGGCGA
rnacentral:rRNA from 1 species